ensembl:lncRNA
GAAUUACUGUCACCCAAAUACAUAAGACAAAAUACAGACUGGCCAGGAUGCUGCUGUGGGCCUUAUGACUGCUCCCUCAUUACUGUAUGCUGUACAGAGUAUCCUGUCUUGGGCGAAGUUACAAUCUGAAAGCAACCCUACAUUAAGCAAGUGGGAAUGGAAAACAGAGAUGCAUGUCAAGCAACUCUUCAAACAAUCGUACCCUCCAAUAUCUGGGGCUUGUUUUAUGGAUGGUAGAAAAUUCACUGGAUGGAUUUAUGUGGUAUAUGAGAAGGCAGAACAAUGGGUGAAAGGAAAAAAAUGUAAAAUAUGGGCUGGACAGCACUUUUAUGGGAAAAAGACUAUGUUGCCUGCUCUUUGACACCUGGGUUUUCUUCCAAUAAGAUUCCUUGACUGCUUAAGCAUUCUUAAAUAUCAGAUUUUUUUUUAAUCAUUAUUAUUGCUGCGAGCAUUGCAACAGGAACAAUGCUAUAUAUCCCCAAUCAUUUUAGCUGUUAUUGGACUAUGUAGGUUUAAAAUUUGAUCAGAAACAGUGACCUCCAUAUAAAUUAGAGGAGGGUUCUCUUUCCAAGUACAGUCAUUUAGGUGGGUAGGAUAAAUAUAAUUCAUUUCAACACCUGGGCUCUGAAAGCAUUUAUUAUUAAGCAAAUUUUAUACCACAGACAAAUUACUGAUCAGAUGUCCUCCCACCCCAGGGAUCUUCUUUGUUGUCCCAUGUCUUUUGAAGAAUUCUUUCUUUGUGACUGUGUCUGAGUGUGCCCUAGGAGAGGCAAAAAGCCCUGGAAUACUUACUUCCCCUCCUAAAACUGCACUUUCUGCUUGUUUUCUUAGCAUAGUUCUUGAAGCAGGUCAACACUUGACUACGGCAAUGAUUACAGAGAAAGUAUGCACCAACACUACCUUUAAGCUAAGGGGAUGCUUUUGCACUAGCAGUGCUUCCUACAGAUCCAACAAGACUGGCAAAUCUGGGAUUAUCCUUCCCAUAAGUAAGGGAAAUCUCCAUGUAACAGGACUGGUUUACAUAAAAGACCUCAGUUUAGUAUGAAGAUACCCAAGCUAGCUGUGUAUGAAUGAACGAGGUGUUGGAAGCAGUCCAGCUAUAAAAGCAUAAAUCUAAGCACAAACACCAAUACUUUGAUGUGUUUAUUUGGGAGAACUUUUACUUAGGUAAUGAAAUUUUGCCAUUGUGAAAACAGCAAAAGAAUUCUUUCCCCACUGAGGUGUUUGGUAAAAACUCCCAUCAGUUUCAUUAUAUAAGAACAGCAGAUGUGAUUUACGUGAUACAUCCACCUAUUCCAGUCUCUCAGUUCCAGCAGUGGCCAAUAGCAGAUGCCUCUUGGAAAAUAUAAAACAAGAUGUCUGUAUGAUGAUACCCUCCUGAAAUACUCUCACAGCCUCCAGAAAAUUGUGGUUGAGAGACUUCCUGUGCCAGAGGUAUAUUUCUGCAUUUAAUAGUCCUCCAUGGGUUUGUCAGCAGUGCCAGGGUUUAAUCCCUAAGUAGACAUGGAACUUAUUCUCACAUGGGUAUUUUGAGACUUAUAAGUAUACAGUACAUUCAAUUGACUGUAAUAACAAGUUAGCCCCCUUUGGGGACUAUACUUUCUAUUACCCACAAACGAGAAGAGGACAAAACUCAAAAAUAAAAAUAAAAUAAAACAAAUUUGAUCA